GUUCUUAUAGUUGAAAAACAAUAGUUGCCCUUCAAGCACCAGGUUUGAGCUAAAACCUCAAUAAGAAUG
rnacentral:tRNA from 1 species